UUAUCAUCCAGAGAUUAUGUUAAUUACUCUCAUCGUUGGUCAAUUGUUGAGUGUCUUCUCAGCUUGCGGCUGAGGUUGUUGAUCGAUGGGAGGUUGAGUCGGGCGAUCAUGCCGAAAUUUUUUAAGGUAGCCUCAUCGAAUCAAAGCCUCUAUCUCGUCCUUGAGCUGAAUGCACUGUUCGGUAUCGUGACCGUGAUCACAAUGAAACCGAUAG
rnacentral:lncRNA from 1 species